UUGCACGCUGGCGGCAGGCCUAACCCAUGCAAGUCGAACGGUAACAGGGAUCAGCUUGCUGAUUCGCUGACGAGUGGCGGACGGGUGAGUAAUGUCUGGGAAACUGCCUGAUGGAGGGGGAUAACUACUGGAAACGGUAGCUAAUACCGCAUAACGUCGCAAGACCAAAGAGGGGGACCUUCGGGCCUCUUGCCAUCGGAUGUGCCCAGAUGGGAUUAGCUAGUAGGUGGGGUAACGGCUCACCUAGGCGACGAUCCCUAGCUGGUCUGAGAGGAUGACCAGCCACACUGGAACUGAGACACGGUCCAGACUCCUACGGGAGGCAGCAGUGGGGAAUAUUGCACAAUGGGCGCAAGCCUGAUGCAGCCAUGCCGCGUGUAUGAAGAAGGCCUUCGGGUUGUAAAGUACUUUCAGCGGGGAGGAAGGGAGUAAAGUUAAUACCUUUGCUCAUUGACGUUACCCGCAGAAGAAGCACCGGCUAACUCCGUG
rnacentral:rRNA from 1 species